UUGCUCUUAUGAAGUUAGCGGCGGACGGGUGAGUAACACGUGGGUAACCUGCCCAUAAGACUGGGAUAACUCCGGGAAACCGGGGCUAAUACCGGAUAACAUUUUGAACUGCAUGGUUCGAAAUUGAAAGGCGGCUUCGGCUGUCACUUAUGGAUGGACCCGCGUCGCAUUAGCUAGUUGGUGAGGUAACGGCUCACCAAGGCAACGAUGCGUAGCCGACCUGAGAGGGUGAUCGGCCACACUGGGACUGAGACACGGCCCAGACUCCUACGGGAGGCAGCAGUAGGGAAUCUUCCGCAAUGGACGAAAGUCUGACGGAGCAACGCCGCGUGAGUGAUGAAGGCUUUCGGGUCGUAAAACUCUGUUGUUAGGGAAGAACAAGUGCUAGUUGAAUAAGCUGGCACCUUGACGGUACCUAACCAGAAAGCCACGGCUAACUACGUGCCAGCAGCCGCGGUAAUACGUAGGUGGCAAGCGUUAUCCGGAAUUAUUGGGCGUAAAGCGCGCGCAGGUGGUUUCUUAAGUCUGAUGUGAAAGCCCACGGCUCAACCGUGGAGGGUCAUUGGAAACUGGGAGACUUGAGUGCAGAAGAGGAAAGUGGAAUUCCAUGUGUAGCGGUGAAAUGCGU
rnacentral:rRNA from 1 species